GUUGGCUUCUGCGUAAGCCCAGAAGAGCCCAUUUAAAGGUCCUUGUACCUUUGAGAGGUUCACCGUCACAGCUUAUCCUCAUGGCUAAAUCUGCUUCUUUAUGUUACUGCUCAUGUAGUCACUACUGUCUGAUGUGUAUUAAACUGUUGGACCUCUUACGGAUGUAGUUUUAACUCAUCUCUCUUAAUAGUGUUCACACUCCCUCCAGGAGUCAAGACCCAAAGAAAUCGAUUUCACCUUGGGAAACAGCCCAGGGGUCACGGCCCUGUUUCCAUGGCAGGUAAAACCGUGUUACUGUUUGCACUCACCCUCAGCCUCGAACCAGCCCAAGACCAUCCCUUGUUGACAAGUGGAUGUCCGGUGGUCUGGCCUGCAAUGCUGUGGAUGGAGCUUACCUGAAAUUGCUCCUUUUCUUGGACCCUGAUGGCUUUUUCCAGAAAGAAAGAUGCGAUUAAAGAGAAAAGAGUAUGUCACUGGGCAGAAGACCUCAAUAGACAUCUCUUCAAAGAAGACGUGCAGACGGCCAACAGGCACAUGAAAAGAUGCUCAAUAAUGCCAAUUAUCAGAGAAGUGGGAGUCCAAGCUACAAUGAGGUACCACCGCACACCAGUCAGAAUGGCCGUCCUUAAAAAGUCCAUAAACUAUAAAUGCUGGAGAGGGUGUGGAGAAAAGGGGAACCCUCCUACACUGCUGGUGGGAAUGCACUUUGGUGCAGCCACUACGGAGGACAGUAUGGAGGUGCCUUAAAAAACUAAAAAUAGACUUGCCAUAUCACCCAGAAAUCCCACUCCUGGGCGUAUAUCUGGAGGGAACUGUAAUUCGAAAAGACACAUGCACCCCAAAGUUUAUAGCAGCACUAUUUACAAUAACCAAGACAUGGAAACAGCCUAAAUGUCCAUUGAGAGAUGAGCUGAUAAAGAAGCUGUGGUAUAUUUAUGCAAUGGAACACUACUCAGCCAUGAAUAAUGAUAAAAUAAUGCCAUUUGCAGCCACAUGGAUGGACCUAGAGAUCAUGUCUAAGUGAAGUAAGCCAGAAAGAGAAAGAAAAAUGCCAUAUGAUAUCACUUAUAUGUGGAAUCUAAAAAAAAAAAAAAAGACACAAAUGAAGUUAC